rnacentral:rRNA from 1 species
UACGUAGGGUGCAAGCGUUGUCCGGAAUUAUUGGGCGUAAAGAGCUCGUAGGCGGCCAACUAAGUCAGACGUGAAAUCCCUCGGCUUAACCGGGGAACUGCGUCUGAUACUGGAUGGCUUGAGUUUGGGAGAGGGAUGCGGAAUUCCAGGUGUAGCGGUGAAAUGCGUAGAUAUCUGGAGGAACACCGGUGGCGAAGGCGGCAUCCUGGACCGGCAUUGACGCUGAGGAGCGAAAGCCAGGGGAGCAAACGGG